CUUUAAGAUUAUUUAUUAAAGGUCACUGUUAAAGGCACAGUGAAGUAAAAAUGUUAUUAUUGUUUAUGUUAAUAGCAAUUCCAUAAUAUGUAGUUGUUGUUAAUUUGAUAAUCUAACCACAUUUAAAUGAAAAAAAAUAAACUAUUUAUUACAACAUAACAUUAGCACUAGGAAAAAUAUAAAAAUUAUGAUUUGCAGAAAAUAGUUCUAUAUCGGACUUGUGUAAUAAAAAAUCCAAAGCUUAAAGGUGACUGUUCCAGAUUCCACAGAUUUCUUAACAUGUUAAUCUGUCCCUAUACUUAACAAAUAUGUGUUUGCGAGUUCUGAAAAAUAACAUUACAUGUCAAAAUCUACACAGCUGUAUUUAGUUAGCUCUGUCCUGGAACUGAGCACAUCCACCCUGGUUCCAUGGCACUCAUGAGUUCUGUCCUUUAUUGUCAACGAUUCAUAGUAUAUAGAGUAUGUUUAUGUCUCUCCUCUCCCAAGGCAAUGUAUGUAUGUCUUUGUGCCAAAAACUGGAUUGUGAUGUCAAUUUGCUCCUGUUGUAGUAAUACCGUAUCUCUCUUUCUCUCUCUCUCUCUAUACAUAUACAAUGUAGUAUUCUUGUCAGAUUAAUAAGGUGCAUAUUUCCAGAUGACCUUUAUAGUCAUCAAGAAAAACUUUAGGUUUAAGGAGCAGUUUUGGUGUAUAAAUUAAUGCCCCUGCACACUCACUGCUCAAUUAUCUGCCAUUUAGGAGUUAAAUCACUUGUUUAUGCAACCCUAGUCACACCUCCCAGCAAGUAACAUGCACAACUUUUCUUAACACUUCCUGUAAAUAGAGCUCUAAUGUUUACACGUCCUUUAUUGUAAAUUCUGUGUAAUUUUGAAUUUAUUGUCUCCUGCACUGGAAAUACCUCACAAGACCUUGCAGGAGCCUCCUGUAUGUGUUUAACGUUAAUUUUACAGAGCAGGGGAUACAAACUUCUAGAGUAAGUAAACAUCUGAUUGAAAAUGAAAGCAUUUUUAUGGUUUAGGAAGGUGUAACUAGGGCUGCAUGGAAAUAAACAGAAGUGAUUUAACUCUUAAAUGGCAGAGAGCUGAGCAGUGGGACUAAGGAUGUAUGACCUAUACCAGGGGUAGGCAACUUACGGCACUAGUGUCAUGCACGGCACUCAAGGCUGCUAGAGCCAAACAUGCUCUGGCCUAUCAGGAGUCCUAGUGAAACUUCAGAUAUCUGCUAAUACGAAAAGGUGGUGAAGGACAAUCCUCAAUUUAUGCAUUGCAGCACGUGGAGGAAGUGAUCUCAGAUCACUUCCUCCCAGCACUUGUGAAUGGGAAUCCACACUGUAGUAGAGCAGCCUGCAGCCGCUGUUGCAGCUCCUACCCUGUACCUGGCCAGCCUGGUCCCCACUGUAACCCACCCACACUGCUAGAUAUACACAGAAAUGCAGAAUAACCCUUCCCUCAUACAAAUAAUAUGAACAGCCCACACACAAACAUACACACAAUCCGCACAAACACUACACCACUAACAAUCCACAUAGAUACACACAAUGCCACAUGCAGUCUCUCACAUGCAAUACCCCAAACAGCCCCACACAUACACACGCUACCAAACACACAAUGUGACAUAUCCAUUCACACACAAUUACACAAGCAGCCCCCAUACACAGCCCACAUUAAUAGGUAUCAUACACGAUACCACAAGCUACUUAUGCACAUAUACAAUAUACUAGCUCAUAUACGCACAAAUACAACGAUACAAAGCAACCACAGUAUCAAUAAGACAAGCAGAAUACGGCAGCAUACACACCUCAAUUUAAAAAUAAUAGGACCGGCACGCUACGGGACAUCACAAUCCUAUAUAGGUACAGUGCUGCUAAAAGGUUACCUACCCCUGACCUAUAGAAUAAAAAUGGCUUCAUUAAGCUAAAGUUGUUUUGUUGGCUGUAGUGUUCCUUUAACUUAAGCAUUUUUUUUUAUUCUACUGUCCCUUCAUAACAACAUUUACAGAUGAACAUAAGUUACUUUAUCACUUGGUAGUGGACUUUAGCUAAUUAUGUUUUUAUUUAUUUUUUGCAUUUGUUGUUUUGUAUUUUUCUCUAAUCUUUAAAUAUACAGAAGAGUUUUCAAAGUGAGUCCCUUAUUAUAUCACAAGUUAAUUAGCCAGUAUUUUUGUCUAAGAAAUAGCAAAGAGGAACCUGUUAUACGUGCUAAAGUGAAAGAUCUCACAUAUUCAUUUCCUAUUUUUUAACAAAAUAGUAUAGAAAAAUUAAUAUCAAAGCAUCUAUGCUUUGAAGAUGGAAUAUUUCCAUUCCUUAAAUUGAACUUGGCUAUUGAUUCUUCCUGGUCAUAGAAAUGUUAAAGUGUAAGAGGUCCGUAAUGGUGUGUGUAUCUUCUUGUAUUGCGUUUAUACUGCCUUAAUAUAUCUAGGUAUAAAGAGAUUUAGUAUGCCUAUAAUUUGUUCAUUACAAUGACAUUGUAUGACGUGGAAAAAUGUUGAAGAUGCACAAAAUUGGUAAGUGUAUAUUUAUCAGUCGCAAAUAAUGGGUUACCUAGUAAAAAUGAAUCAAUUUGUGUAGAUUUGGAUGAAAGUAAGACAUUCUGCAUUGUAAAUGACAAAAAAAUGCAUUAAAUUUAAUAUCAAAACUUUGAAUUUUUUACUCUAAUAACUCCAUCUUUUUAAUGAGUGAUCAUUUUCAAAUCCAAUGCUCAGGGGACAUAAUAAACUUGAAAAAGAGCCACAUUCAAUAUUUGGAAUCAUUAAAAAAAAUGUUUUUGUUGUUGCAUUUUUUUGUCUGUGUGACUUAAAUCCAAAGAAAAACUAUAUUUAAAUAACUUGUGACCAUAAAACAUAAAAUGUAUUUUAAAGAAAAUUAACAUUUCUUUUUGUAACAAAAUCGUUUAGUUUUUAUUUUACCAAUUGUUCUGUGUUUUAAAUAAAUUAAGUAGCCUUAAUGUAUACAUUGUUUUACGUUAUUAUUAGGUAUGUUUUUAACUGAGACUUUAUUUAAAGUACAAUUUACGUGUAGCCCUUAAACCAACAGAAAUUAAGUAAAAGCAUGAUUUAGAAACUCUUUCUUACACUUUUUUUUCCCCCAAUGAAAACGACAGUAAGAAAGAUAUAUUUUAGUACCAUCAUAUAGAAUUGUCAACUGCAUGUCGCUCUAGGUUUGGCCUACAAAGUAGAUUGUACUGUGCAUAUCAAAUUGUAGUUAUGUUUAAUGUAACGUUUGACAUCCAGUAUUCAGGACAUUUAGCUAAAUACUGCAACUUGAAUACAUGGAGAAACUAUAUGAUACAUAAAGUUUGCUAUUUUACUGUCCGUAGAUUGAAUUCAGAAGCUGUGUAAUGGUUGAAAAAUAAAAAACAUUUAUUGUCAAUCUUGAGGUAAACUGUUCACAUUAGUUGCAAAAAAAGAAAUAAAAAUCUUUUUGUACCAAA